rnacentral:rRNA from 1 species
GACGAAGGGGGCUAGCGUUGUUCGGAAUUACUGGGCGUAAAGCGCGUGUAGGCGGUUGCCCAAGUCGGGUGUGAAAGCCUUGAGCUCAACUCAAGAAAUGCACUCGGUACUGGGUGACUAGAGGACCGGAGAGGAUAGUGGAAUUCCCAGUGUAGUGGUGAAAUACGUAGAGAUUGGGAAGAACACCCGUGGCGAAGGCGGCUCUCUGGGACGGUACUGACGCUGAGACGCGAAAGCGUGGGGAGCGAACAGG